AUCUACUUAUAUGAAUAAACAUAAACUAAUUAAAUAUAGUGUGAUUGGAUGAAAACUGCAAAGAAGAAACAUGCAUAAAUACUAGGCCUGUACACUUAUAGCUUAAUACAUGGAUGGCUAUAUCAUAAAACUUGCGCUACUCAGCCGAUGCCUUUGGAUAGGAGGCCAUUGAUUCAAGGUACCAUUGAGUCAUGGAGGAGAGUCCCACCAGCUCCAAGUGUGG